GUUUUGCGGAAACAACAGUACCGAGAAACGUCCACAGAAAUUGGGUUCUAUCUCCGGCUGCUCAUAUAUAUAUAUAUAGUAGAGCUUUGAGCUUGGUGAGCUCACAGGUCCUCCCCAUUUCUCCAACACCAAGCCUCCGACACUUGUGCUUUGUGUGCUCCGGCUCCCGGCGGGCUCAACAGUCGGGCGCCCUUUGUGUGCUCCAGCUCCACUGUUCCAACAACAUCUUCUUUCCCGACGCAGCGAUCGUCCAUCCCUACUACGGCUAAAGUAAGGUUCGAAAAUAUUCGCAAAAAAAAAGAGAGGUACAAGGGCAAAGUUCUUCGGAGAUAAAUUACCAUGGCGAACAGUUUGCAGCAUAUACUAAGUGCAGUGCCAAAGGCCAUACCUUAUGCGUUGUUAGAAGAAAUUACAGACAACUUUUCAGAUGAGCGAAUGCUUGGUCAAGGUGGCUUUGGAAAAGUUUACUGGGGAAUGUAUAAUGGAGAAGAAAUUGCUGUGAAAAAGCUUAGAAUGAUACAGCACCUUGCUGAUGAGCCACAAUUUAACAAUGAACUUCUUAGUCUUGUGCAUGUCCAACAUCAAAAUAUUGUCAAGUUAGUUGGCUACUGCUAUCAAACAAAACAUGAAGUUAAUGUAUACAAUGGAAGACUUGUCGUGGCUGACGUGAUAGAAAGAGUUCUCUGCUUUGAGUACCUUUCCCGUGGAAGCCUCGACGAAUAUCUUUCUGACGAAUCCUGCGGACUUGAUUGGUACGAACGUUACAAAAUAAUUGUCGGGAUUUGUGAGGGUCUAAAUUUCCUUCACAAUGGAACCAAAAGAGCAGUUUACCAUCUUGAUUUAAAACCUGCAAACAUAUUGUUGGAUGAGAACUGGAUGCCAAAAAUUUGUGACUUCGGUCUGUCAAGACUCAUUAGUAACUCAGCAAAAAGCCAUAACGCGGAACACUGUAUCGGAACACCGUAUGUUCAUACCUCAUGAUCAUGUGAUCAACUUCUUUUCAUCAAUAUUGUUACAGAAAAAACAUGUAACUUUUUUGUAUCCUGCAGUCCCUUCAUGCCACCAGAAUACAUAGAGAAGGGCAGAAUCUCUGACAAGUAUGAUGUUUUCAGCUUAGGCGUCACAAUCAUACAAAUAAUUGCAGGCCGUGAUGGCCAUAGCAAAUAUGAAGACAUGCCUUGCCAAAAAUUUGCUGAACUUAUACGGGCAUAAUUAUGUGAUCAAUAAUAAUGGAGUUGCUUAAAUUAGUACUAACAUCAUCAGUUGUGUCAUGUUUAAAUACCAUUUUGUAGGUAAACUUGAAUUGGAGGAUAAGGAUAGAGGGAACAUCAAAGCAUGUGGAAGAAUACUGCCAGCAAGUCAAGAAAUGUAUCACAAUUGCAUUAGAUUGCCUGGAGCAUGACAGAGACAAAAGGCCCACUAUAGGGUCUAUUAUCGAUACGUUGAAACAGCUAGAAACCAUGACUCACAGAACAGUAGAAGAAGAAAAAGAAGGAGAACCUGAGCAGUUGGAACAGAUAGAAACCAUGAUUCAUAACACAGCAGAAGAAGAGAAAGAAGAAGACCAGGAGCAGUUGGAACAGAUAGAAACCACGAUUAACAGCACUGUAGAAGGAGAAGGGCAACAGGAGCAGGAGAACUCUCAAGUUCUUACAUACGGGCCUUGGGGUGGAAAUGGCGGGACUCCUCAUGACAUCGGGGCAGCAUCUUCCUAUCGUCUUAAAAGUGUGACAAUUCGUUAUGGCGAUAUCAUUGAUUCACUUACAUUUUCAUAUAGCGAUCACAGUGAGCACGUACGCAGUGUUGGUCCAUGGGGUGGUACUGGUGGUGCGAACAAAUAUACGAUCAAAUUUGAACCAUCAGAGUUUCUCACAGAAAUUUCUGGACAAUUUGGUCCAUAUGCGUUAUCAACUUCCAAUGUCAUAACAUCGCUCAUGCUGGUAACCAAUGAGGAUAGAUAUGGACCUUUUGUAUUUGUACAAGGAACUCCUUUCUGCAGCAACUUGGAAAACGAUUGGGCUAUAGUUGGUUUUUUUGCACGUGCGGAGAGAUAUGUUCAUAAAAUUGGUGUGUAUGCCAGACCCAAUUCGCUCGACGGAGGAACUGCUGUGCAGUCCGAGCUGCAAGGAGGACAAGAGUAGUGGUAGUAGUACGGUAUGUGUUUCUAGCGCACUUGGUCCAUUUGGUAUACGACGGGACAAGAGUACUGUUGCUGUAUCUGUAUGAGAUCGUACAUUGCCUGUUGUUAUUUACAUCGCUCCAUUAUGUUUUAUUUUUUCA